rnacentral:rRNA from 1 species
AUGAACGCUAGCUACAGGCUUAACACAUGCAAGUCGAGGGGCAGCAUGAACUUAGCUUGCUAAGUUUGAUGGCGACCGGCGCACGGGUGAGUAACACGUAUCCAACCUGCCGAUGACUCGGGGAUAGCCUUUCGAAAGAAAGAUUAAUACCCGAUGGCAUAGUUCUUCCGCAUGGUAGAACUAUUAAAGAAUUUCGGUCAUCGAUGGGGAUGCGUUCCAUUAGGUUGUUGGCGGGGUAACGGCCCACCAAGCCUUCGAUGGAUAGGGGUUCUGAGAGGAAGGUCCCCCACAUUGGAACUGAGACACGGUCCAAACUCCUACGGGAGGCAGCAGUGAGGAAUAUUGGUCAAUGGACGAGAGUCUGAACCAGCCAAGUAGCGUGAAGGAUGACUGCCCUAUGGGUUGUAAACUUCUUUUAUACGGGAAUAAAGUGAGGCACGUGUGCCUUUUUGUAUGUACCGUAUGAAUAAGGAUCGGCUAACUCCGUGCCAGCAGCCGCGGUAAUACGGAGGAUCCGAGCGUUAUCCGGAUUUAUUGGGUUUAAAGGGAGCGUAGGCGGACGCUUAAGUCAGUUGUGAAAGUUUGCGGCUCAACCGUAAAAUUGCAGUUGAUACUGGGUGUCUUGAGUACAGUAGAGGCAGGCGGAAUUCGUGGUGUAGCGGUGAAAUGCUUAGAUAUCACGAAGAACUCCGAUUGCGAAGGCAGCCUGCUGGACUGUAACUGACGCUGAUGCUCGAAAGUGUGGGUAUCAAACAGGAUUAGAUACCCUGGUAGUCCACACAGUAAACGAUGAAUACUCGCUGUUUGCGAUAUACAGUAAGCGGCCAAGCGAAAGCGUUAAGUAUUCCACCUGGGGAGUACGCCGGCAACGGUGAAACUCAAAGGAAUUGACGGGGGCCCGCACAAGCGGAGGAACAUGUGGUUUAAUUCGAUGAUACGCGAGGAACCUUACCCGGGCUUGAAUUGCAACUGAAUGAUGUGGAGACAUGUCAGCCGCAAGGCAGUUGUGAAGGUGCUGCAUGGUUGUCGUCAGCUCGUGUCGUGAGAUGUUGGGUUAAGUCCCGCAACGAGCGCAACCCCUAUCCCCAGUAGCCAGCGGUUCGGCCGGGCACUCUGAGGAGACUGCCAGGGAUAACCUGGAGGAAGGCGGGGAUGACGUCAAAUCAUCAUGCCCCUUAUGAGCAGGGCUACACACGUGUUACAAUGGGGGGUACAGAAGGCAGCUACACGGCGACGUGAUGCUAAUCCCGAAAGCCUCUCUCAGUUCGGAUUGGAGUCUGCAACCCGACUCCAUGAAGCUGGAUUCGCUAGUAAUCGCGCAUCAGCCACGGCGCGGUGAAUACGUUCCCGGGCCUUGUACACACCGCCCGUCAAGCCAUGAAAGCCGGGGGUACCUGAAGUGCGUAACCGCAAGGAGCGCCCUAGGGUAAAACUGGUGAUUGGGGCU